rnacentral:miRNA from 1 species
GUCCAGUUUUCCCAGGAUUCCCU